CCUACGGGUGGCAGCAGUGGGGAAUAUUGGACAAUGGGCGAAAGCCUGAUCCAGCCAUGCCGCGUGUGUGAAGAAGGCCUUCGGGUUGUAAAGCACUUUCAGUGGGGAAGAAAGCCUUGGGGCUAAUACCCUCGAGGAAGGACAUCACCCACAGAAGAAGCACCGGCUAACUCCGUGCCAGCAGCCGCGGUAAUACGGAGGGUGCGAGCGUUAAUCGGAAUUACUGGGCGUAAAGCGCGCGUAGGCGGUCUGAUAAGCCGGUUGUGAAAGCCCCGGGCUCAACCUGGGAACGGCAUCCGGACCUGUCAGGCUAGAGUGCAGGAGAGGAAGGUAGAAUUCCCGGUGUAGCGGUGAAAUGCGUAGAUAUCGGGAGGAAUACCAGUGGCGAAGGCGGCCUUCUGGACUGACACUGACGCUGAGGUGCGAAAGCGUGGGUAGCAAACAGGAUUAGAUACCCGAGUAGUC
rnacentral:rRNA from 1 species